CCCUUCUCCCCCUCCUUCCUAUUCUCCUCCCUUCUUCCCCCGCGUGUCUCCUCCCAUCUCUUUCGCUGUGUGUCACUGACCCAGAGGCAGGGUGAGGCGGAGGGGGGACCGUGGGGGGGCGCCGCCGCCGCUGCGCUCGCUGCUCGGGUUCGCGGUGCGUGCGUUCUCUUCCCCCGCCGGAAUCGCCCCCACGCCAGGGGGCUCCGGAGCCUCCCCAUUUCUUUUUCUCUCCCUACUGUCUUUCUCUCUCUGCCUCCUGGUUCCGUCGCUCAGUUCCGGGGCCAACUUCUCCUCCACUGUCGGCGCUCGCCGGGCUCGAGAGAAGCCCGCGGCGGCGGCGGCUCGAAGGACUGGGGCUUCCGUCUAGCCUCUCGCUUCAGCCACCCCCCAAGCUCCUUUUUCUCUCAGUGUCGGUGGAGGGGCUGUGAGGGAUCCGAAUCAUCCGCCAGAGAUCGCCCGCUAUUAAUCUGGGAAGCAGGCCCUAUGGAAAUGCAACCUGGUAGGUACUUUAUAGUUACUAAAGACUUGGAAAAUAAAGUUCUUACCACCAAAAUUCAGAGCCUGUUAAAUGAUUCAACAUCAUAAAUAGGUAGGAUGUUAUCAGUGAAAAUGACUGAUUAAAGAAGAGGCCCCACCAUCUGCUUUGCCACUAUUACCUUAACAACUAGGGGACCUUUCCAUGAUUUGAAACUGAGUUCUCUCAUGUAUUUUUUCCUUAUUAUAACAAGCUUCUUGAGCAGAAACAUGUUUUGUUUUUCUGUAUCCCCCAGCACUUAGUUACAGUUUUUCAAUCUUAAUAGGUUUUCAUUCCCUCAGUACUGCCAGCCUCACCAAGUUGCUGUGAAGGAAGUAUGCUGCAGAUAUUAAAAUGAUAUUGUCAACUGGGUUUUUGGGCCCCAGGUUUGCCCCUAUGCCUUAGAAAAACACCUUAAGAGGAGUCCCCAGACUGACUUUGUUUCAGACUGAACAAUAGAUUUUAAAGUACUUAAUGAACCCAGUUUAGGUUCGUAGGCUUGAUCAAAUGUUAAGUACCCUUUUUUGUCUUAGUAGUUUCUCCCAUUAUAUCAAAGUCCUCUCCCAGGAAUCCCAGACCUUGGCUGGCCUCUUUCUUUAGUAUCCAUUGUAAAGCAUCAGCCUCUCUUGGACUCCUCAUUUCCUUGUAGCUAUUGUAAAGCCAAUCAAUCAUACUUCCCUGUCUUUUGUUUCUCAAAAGGUAUACAAGAUCCCUAUGUUCUGUUGUUCUUUGGAGAAUCUCAGAGACUCUGUCUCCAGAGCCCCCAGGGUUUGACUCUGUGUGGUAUUUAGCACUUUGCCUGAUUGGCUGCCAAAAUUUAAGGACCUGUCUCUUUCCUGAUUAAAGAUUUGUUUUUGCUAACUACUUUGGUGGUUCUGUGUUUUUCCAAGUUGGCAAUAUAUAAAUAUGAAAUACUAACUAAUAGUAAUUGCCCCUGUUGACUUUCAUCAUUUUAAAUUUUAGUGUCAGCUCUUUAAAACCCUAAAUGAUCCAAGACAAAAAUCUUAGUUUAGUGAAGCACAAAAUAAGAGUUAAAGAAAUCUGUUUCUAAAAGUCCCUGGAUACUAUUUUGUUUUCCAUAUUAGCAGUUAAUCUGGUCUGUAGUUAAUCAGUAUCCAUAGUGUAUAUAUUCAAGUUAAAUUUUUCUUGUCAAAGCUUCAUUUCCUCUUUAAUGAGGGAAAGUUACUGUCCAGAAGGUAUAGCUUGGAUUAAUGCCACCAAACAGAUAGUAUAUAGGAAGUAGAAAAAAGUAAUAAGAUCCAUGUGAUGCAUCACAUAUGCAGUGACCCUAUUUCUGGUUUAUUACUCUAUACAGAGAUCCACUUUUAAAGUAUUAAAGCCUGAAGGGAUAUGAAUAUUCUGUAUUGUGGAAUCCUUUUCAUGACUUAUUUUAGUUUAUUAAUUGAAAUGUCUUACUGUAAAAUGCAGCAAGAAUGGUGAGUUCUAUGACUGCCAACUCCUUAUGGUAGGUGGUUUUAUUUGAGGAGGUUGUGUUUUUUGACAAAUAAUGAAUCCUUGAUAUAACAUGAUUUCUAUAGCAAGGAUAUCUUUCUUAGAAUUAGUUUUUAAGUUUAAAAAUUAAUAUCCAAAUAUUCCAAGUAUUAAAUUUAAUAAGAUUUAUUCAUAAUAACUUGAAGUAAGGAAAAUAAGCUAGAGUAAAAACUUGAGUAAAGCCAGCUUUCUCAACCUCACACACCAGAAAAAGAGAGCAAAUGAGGAAUUACAUAUAACUUAAAAACAAUAACUUAAGGAUGCUAAGAUGAAUGAAGGGAAAAGGAUUCUGGGAGAUGAAGUCCAAGGGUUCGAGAAUUUCUAAUUAUACAAGUUAAUGAUCGAGGAAGGAAAAUAGUUACUGGAAGCAAAGUAGAAAAAUAAUCUUUGUAGUAUUUUUCUCAUGUAACACAUUCUACGGUAUAUCCUGGAUGGACAGCAUUAUAAUGAAGCUGUAGAGUAUAUUGGUAACAUUUUUCUGGAACAUAUUUACUUUGAUUCCUUUACUAAGGCAAGGAGCUUUGCAUAUAGCAAUCCCAAAUAUGUAUUUAAAUGAUUAUUUAAUAGUUAAGUAUUUCUUGAUUUCUUAUUAUAGGCCUAUUGGACUUGAGAGAUAAUCUAAUUACAUGUGCACCACACUCUGCCCUACUUUUUCAUUGAGGAAACUGAGGCAUUGAGAAAUACAAUUACUUUCCCAGGCAUAGUUCAUGAUUAUGCUGUUUUUAAAUUAUGUCAAAUAAAAUAAGACAUUUAAUUAUAUAAAAAAAUAGG
rnacentral:lncRNA from 1 species